UAGAAGGUGGUGUGCUAUAUUUGAAAAAACAAAACAAAACAAAACAGUUAGUUUGAACUUGACUGUAGGAUUUUGGAAGAGUGAUACACAGAGAGGUAUCUUUGAACCAGCUUGUGAAGGAAUUUAAAAAUCAAAAUGAUUAAUUUAUAUUUUUCCUAUAAUACUGGGGAGCCAUUGGAUUUAUUGAGUAGAAGAGUUAUAUAGAAAGACUUAUGUUUAUUGAAAAUUAUGUUGGUAACCUAGAGGAUGGAUUGGGGAAAGAAUUAAAGGUGUCCAUUGAAAUAGUGUAAAUAGGAACUGGCCCACUCCUGAACUAAGCUGGUAGCUCUGAAUAGAGAAAAUAAUUUCGAUUUAAAGGUUGUAGAAAUAAAUGGCAAAACUGGGCAACUAACUAGCUAUGUGGGGCAAGGGAGUGUGAAGAAUCAAGGAUAAUAUCAAGGUCACAAACCUGGGAGAAAUGAAGAAUGUUGCAUGCUUUAUAGAAAAAGGUGAAAGAAUAACAAUUAUACAGGCAUGCGGUCUCUGACCAUUGUCAACUGGAUCCAGUAGCAAGACAAAGACUGGAGUAACUGGAAAUGUCCUUGGAUGCAAGAGGAGACCCUGGCCUUUGUCAUACAGAGAGUAUCAGCAGUUGGUGUUCUUUAAGAAGGUAUGUGAAAGAUACUAUUUUGAUUGGCAUUGGCAUAAGGACUUUUCAUUCUGGGAUUUAUUAAAACUGAUAGAAUCACAAUUCUUGAACGCCCUUGUUUGUUUCAA